rnacentral:rRNA from 1 species
AAAUUGAAGAGUUUGAUCAUGGCUCAGAUUGAACGCUGGCGGCAGGCCUAACACAUGCAAGUCGAGCGGUAGCACAGAGAGCUUGCUCUCGGGUGACGAGCGGCGGACGGGUGAGUAAUGUCUGGGAAACUGCCUGAUGGAGGGGGAUAACUACUGGAAACGGUAGCUAAUACCGCAUAACGUCGCAAGACCAAAGUGGGGGACCUUCGGGCCUCAUGCCAUCAGAUGUGCCCAGAUGGGAUUAGCUAGUAGGUGGGGUAACGGCUCACCUAGGCGACGAUCCCUAGCUGGUCUGAGAGGAUGACCAGCCACACUGGAACUGAGACACGGUCCAGACUCCUACGGGAGGCAGCAGUGGGGAAUAUUGCACAAUGGGCGCAAGCCUGAUGCAGCCAUGCCGCGUGUGUGAAGAAGGCCUUCGGGUUGUAAAGCACUUUCAGCGGGGAGGAAGGCGUUAAGGUUAAUAACCUUGGCGAUUGACGUUACCCGCAGAAGAAGCACCGGCUAACUCCGUGCCAGCAGCCGCGGUAAUACGGAGGGUGCAAGCGUUAAUCGGAAUUACUGGGCGUAAAGCGCACGCAGGCGGUCUGUCAAGUCGGAUGUGAAAUCCCCGGGCUCAACCUGGGAACUGCAUUCGAAACUGGCAGGCUAGAGUCUUGUAGAGGGGGGUAGAAUUCCAGGUGUAGCGGUGAAAUGCGUAGAGAUCUGGAGGAAUACCGGUGGCGAAGGCGGCCCCCUGGACAAAGACUGACGCUCAGGUGCGAAAGCGUGGGGAGCAAACAGGAUUAGAUACCCUGGUAGUCCACGCCGUAAACGAUGUCGAUUUGGAGGUUGUGCCCUUGAGGCGUGGCUUCCGGAGCUAACGCGUUAAAUCGACCGCCUGGGGAGUACGGCCGCAAGGUUAAAACUCAAAUGAAUUGACGGGGGCCCGCACAAGCGGUGGAGCAUGUGGUUUAAUUCGAUGCAACGCGAAGAACCUUACCUG